rnacentral:misc_RNA from 1 species
GAUGAAGAACGUAGCGAAAUGCGAUAAGUAGUGUGAAUUGCAGAAUUCAGUGAAUCAUCGAAUCUUUGAACGCACAUUGCGCCCCCUGGUAUUACGGGGGGCAUGCCUGUUCGAGCGUCAUUUCACCACUCAAGCCUCGCUUGGUAUUGGGCAACGCGGUCCGCCGCGUGCCUCAAAUCGACCGGCUGGGUCUUCUGUCCCCUAAGCGUUGUGGAAACUAUUCGCUAAAGGGUGUUCGGGAGGCUACGCCGUAAAACAACCCCAUUUCUAAGGUUGACCUCGGAUCAGGUAGGGAUACCCGCGGAACUUAAGCAUAUCAAUAAGCGGAGGA